rnacentral:rRNA from 1 species
AACGCAGGUGGCGAGCGUUAUCCGGAAUUACUGGGCGUAAAGCGCGUGUAGGCGGGUCUUUAAGUCAGGGGUGAAAUGCCAAGGCUCAACCUUGGAACUGCCUUUGAUACUGGAGACCUUGAGUCCGGGAGAGGUGAGUGGAAUUGCGAGUGUAGAGGUGAAAUUCGUAGAUAUUCGCAAGAACACCAGUGGCGAAGGCGGCUCACUGGCCCGGAACUGACGCUGAGAUGCGAAAGCGUGGGGAGCAAACAGG